GACGAACCGGACGAACGUUAUUCGGAAUUACUGGGCUUAAAGAGUGCGUAGGCGGCCUGGCAGGUUGGGUGUGAAAUCCCUCGGCUCAACCGAGGAACUGCGCUCAAAACCGCCAGGCUUGAGGGAGACAGGGGUGAGCGGAACUGAUGGUGGAGCGGUGAAAUGCGUUGAUAUCAUCAGGAACACCGGUGGCGAAGGCGGCUCACUGGGUCUUGUCUGACGCUGAGGCACGAAAGCUAGGGGAGCGAACGGG
rnacentral:rRNA from 1 species